GACCCGCUAGCUCAGUUGGUAGAGCACCUGCCUUUUAAGCCGGUUGUCCGGGGUUCGAGCCCCCGGCGGGUCACCA
rnacentral:tRNA from 1 species